rnacentral:piRNA from 1 species
UAAGAAGCCAACCUCAAGGAAUCACUCGCC